rnacentral:rRNA from 1 species
ACAUGCCUACAACAUAUCAUUAAUGCACUGGAUCCCAUUAGAACUCCAAAAUUAAGUGUGCUCGCGCAAGAGUAGUACUAGGUGUUAAUGUUUAAGCCAUUAUUAUAGAUGUUUGCAUUUC